rnacentral:rRNA from 1 species
UNUGGCUUGAGUGCAGAAGGGGAGAGUGGAAUUCCAUGUGUAGCGGUGAAAUGCGUAGAUAUAUGGAGGAACACCAGUGGCGAAAGCGGCUCUCUGGUCUGUCACUGACGCUGAGGCUCGAAAGCGUGGGUAGCGAACAGGAUUAGAUACCCUGGUAGUCCACGCCGUAAACGAUGAGUGCUAGGUGUUAGGCCCUUUCCGGGGCUUAGUGCCGGAGCUAACGCAAUAAGCACUCCGCCUGGGGAGUACGACCGCAAGGUUGAAACUCAAAGGAAUUGACGGGGGCCCGCACAAGCGGUGGAGCAUGUGGUUUAAUUCGAAGCAACGCGAAGAACCUUACCAGGUCUUGACAUCCCGAUGCUAUUCUUAGAGAUAGGAAGUUACUUCGGUACAUCGGAGACAGGUGGUGCAUGGUUGUCGUCAGCUCGUGUCGUGAGAUGUUGGGUUAAGUCCCGCAACGAGCGCAACCCUUAUUGUUAGUUGCCAUCAUUAAGUUGGGCACUCUAGCGAGACUGCCGGUAAUAAACCGGAGGAAGGUGGGGAUGACGUCAAAUCAUCAUGCCCCUUAUGACCUGGGCUACACACGUGCUACAAUGGUCGGUACAACGAGUUGCGAGCCGGUGACGGCAAGCUAAUCUCUGAAAGCCGAUCUCAGUUCGGAUUGGAGGCUGCAACUCGCCACCAUGAAGUCGGAAUCGCUAGUAAUCGCGGAUCAGCACGCCGCGGUGAAUACGUUCCCGGGCCUUGUACACACCGCCCGUCACACCACGAGAGUUUGUAACACCCGAAGUCGGUGAGGUAACCUUUUAGGGGCCAGCCG